rnacentral:rRNA from 1 species
UACCUACGGGACGCAGCAGUGGGGAAUAUUGCACAAUGGGGGAAACCCUGAUGCAGCAACGCCGCGUGAGUGAAGAAGUCAUUCGUGAUGUAAAGCUCUAUCAGCAGGGAAGAAAAUGACGGUACCUGAGUAAGAAGCCCCGGCUAACUACGUGCCAGCAGCCGCGGUAAUACGUAGGGGGCACGCGUUAUCCGGAUUUACUGGGUGUAAAGGGAGCGUAGACGGCCAGACAAGUCUGAAGUGAAAAUC